CCUUCUUUUUCCCGCUUUUUUCGGAAUUAUUGGGCGUAAAGGGCGCGUAGGCGGCUUGUUAAGUCAGUUGUGAAAGCCCGGGGCUCAACCCCGGAGGGUCGACUGAUACUGGUAAGCUGGAGUACAGAAGAGGUAGCUGGAAUUCCCGGUGUAGCGGUGAAAUGCGUAGGUAUCGGGAGGAACCCCAGAGGCGAAGGCGGGCUACUGGGCUGAUACUGACGCUGAUGCGCGAAAGCUAGGGGAGCAAACAGGA
rnacentral:rRNA from 1 species